rnacentral:antisense_RNA from 1 species
CCUUUCAUUUGAACAGCACUCCUUAUGGUACGUAACUUUUCGUUCAUAUUCUUUGGAGCUGGGUCGAGGAGAUGUUAC